GUGCUCACUCUUGCAUGGCAUCCUCUUGGUACUUGGAGGUAUUUUCCACCUCCCGAGGCAGACAAUGGCAUAAAUUCCUUUCUUGGAACUAGCACAACUAAGAAAGGGAAUUAAGAAAACAGAUGGUGGAAGCUGACCAGUCAUAUCCCUGCUGCUGAAAUUCAACUGAUCAUCAAAAUGCUGCUGAAAAUUCUUGUGUUUUUAAAAUGCAUUUUCAAGGUGUGUAAAGCUGCUUUGCCACUCAGAUGUAACCUGAGCAUGAUGGGCUGUGACUGAAGGAGAAGAAAAGCAUGUGUGGCUGCUGCCAGUCUGGCCCCAGCACACUGGAGCACAUUAAUGCAGCUCUGACUGGGCAGGAUGCAUUUCUCUGGCUGAAGAGUCACAGGUGGGACUAGGAGUGUGGAGGAGGCUUGUUGGUGCCAAAACAUAAACUGCUUAAGAAUAGGGAGCGAAGCAUGGAUUGCGUGGUUCAAGACAGAUCCUGAGUGAUUUUGACAAGAACAAGGAAUAUUGAUUAUUCACCACUCACCACUCCUGGGUGCAUUAUGCACUGAGGCCACACAUUUACCAUGGCAGACCCAAGGCCACCUCACCACCUAUGACAGUCUAAUGAAUGUCAGCCAGUAUUUCAUGCAUUGCUUUCUUUAGAGAGAGUGACAGUCUGAUGAUACUCAGUUUCAUAAGCUGCUGUGUUUGGAACUGCUUCAUUUCCUACAGACAAGCCAAAUUCUUCCCACCUUCGGCAGAGCUUGUUCUUAGCUGCAGCAAUCAUGAUGAGAUUAUGACUUUUUGUCACUGUAUCCUAAAUGUAUCUGAGAGCCUCUGGAGUGGAAUUUGUUUCUCACCAAGCCAUGAGGAACAUUUUGCAAGUCAGUAUCAUUAAAAGCCAAGUCUUGAGGAUAAAUCUUCCCUCUAAGGUGUUCAUCGGUGGUCCUCUGGCAAUGAACUGGGAGUUAGAGGAAAGUCUCAGUGAUCAACCAUCUCCAACCUGUCACAGGCUGUAAGAAAAGCAGCAAAUCAAGUACUUGCAGAUUCCUUCAAUAUCCAGGCACUCAGUCCCUGCGGACAUGAAAAUUCAGAGUAUGAUUUUGCUGGCCCAGAGUUCAUACAAGAUCUCACUGAGAUCCGCACUUUAUAUUUCAUUCAGAAUGUUUUAUAUUUCACCUAGAAUAUUAACUUCAAGAUUCAGAAGAAAGGUGAAAAAAAGUUCACUGGAAAAAUGAUAAUGAAAACUGUUUUGGGUAAAGCAAAGUCAUAAGAAUUGUUAAUUCAUAAUGUAUCUGGUAGGUAUCACAUUUUUAAACUGCUCUUACUACCCACACUUUGAUAUAUAUAUACGAGAGAGAGAGAGAGAGAAUCACAGACACAAAUACACUUGAAAUUACUUUUUUCACUUGAAAAGUGAGGAUAUUGUGCAAGACAGUGUGUGAAGAAGAGCAAUUCCUCUACCAAAGAGCUGACAGUCUGAGGCCUUUGUCCAACAGCCACAUUGCCCUUGAUGCGGUUGAGUGUGCCUUGCGUAAAGCUAUAUCCUGUUGUAUAUUAGCAGGACAGAGCCCAGGAAAGCCAGUGGUUAUUACUGAUCAGUGCUAAUCACUAAUCUUUUUAUUCCUUGUAGAUACUGGGGAACCGUGUGUCGUGAGGAAAGAUGCAAGUGCUAGAGCCAGCUGGUUGUUUAAACAUAGGUUUUGCUCAAAAGUGACAGACCUUUCCAUUGAACUCCAUUUGUACAGGUCAACUCAGAACAAGCAAUAUGCAGAUGCACCUUACAGUGGACAAAAAACAGCAGGUAGGAUGAUGAUAUGCAUCAAGUUAUGUGAAGGCAAAACAUUGCUUUGGCUAUAAAAAUGGGUACUCCAAGUUUCCUUGGGAAAAUGGCCUUCCCUUCCUCCACUCUGUCACAUCCAGCUCCAAGAGAAUUGCUAGUAAAGACUGGAUCGUGGCAAUUAGCACAAUUCUGGUAAGAAGGAACUCUGAGAUCAGUCAUGAAGUGCACUUGAUCAAGUGUGACCUGUAUUAUCUCCAUUACAACUGUACAAUCUGCAUUAACAAGCCUCCCUGGAUGAGUAGUAGGACAGGAGAAAACAAAUGGUUUCUAGAGUAUCAGAGCUGUUUUGUGGGUGACCAGAACUCAAAUGGCAGGGAGUAGUUCUUUGCAUGCUUAUUUAAAUGCAAGUAAGAGCAAUCUAUGCCUAAAUUAGAUGUUUCUUUAUUUUUUCCCCAAUAUUUUUUGGGAAGAAUAUACAAAUAAAGAAAAGAAACAAAAAUGGCAUAUGGCAACUGUCAUGCCUGAGCUUGAAUUUUUGUUCCAUUUUGUACUUUGAAGGUUUUAACCAGCUCUGCACGUUUUUUUUUUACUAGUAAAUGGCUCCUACAGCCCUGCUGUUCUGCAGCAGUUCAUCAGUUUCAUGGGGUGCUGUGCAAAUUCAUGCAUUUGUUCUUGUCAUGAAUUUGCUGUGCAGUUUGCCUUCUUUCUUUGAUGUUCUCCAGGAGACCUGUAAGUUCUUUUCCAGGUAAUGAUCUACAACCAUAAAAUAGCUUUGAUAGUUUGCUGAAUCUACACUAGAGUUUAACUGCAUAAUUGUUGAUCAAUGUUUUUCCAACGUCUCUGGCCCUAACUAUCUCUUUUUCCCCCAGGGGAUGUAUUUAAUCAUCAAUACACCUGUAAUCACCUGUUUCUUAAAAGAGCUACCACAUAUUUCUUCUGUAAUAAAGGGCUCAGGUUGACUGAUGAUAUUCAUAAGAUAUCACCUCCAGUACAGACGCUUCAGGAAAGAUGAAGUGCUAGACCAAGGAAAGAGAAAUGAGAUAUAGAAAUACUAAUUGGGGAAUAUCUGCCAGAGAAAUAGCAUGGCAGAAAACAAGAUACUGUCAUAGAGAAUCAUGACAGUGAAAUACAUUCCAACAAUGUGAUGCCAAAAAUGGAAAAUAGUAUUAACCAAAAACAUCAUAUAUACCACAUGGGAGAUAAUUCUGCUGUUCUGCACCUCCUGUAGAGACUGCUGCAGAGGGCAUUUGUCAACUUCAUCACCACACUCUGAGGAGGCUGUAGGAAGAAAUUCAGUAAAUAAAACAUAUAAAGAGAGUUUGAAAACAAAUUAGUUUAAUUUAGAGCAAAUGAGAUUUCAGCUGAAAAUUAUCUUUUUUUCCCCUUCUUUUUGUUACAGAGUGGAGUGUAUUGGUUUGUUUGCAAAGUAAAAUAACAUUCCUAGUACUAAGAGCCAUGAAGUUCUCCAGCAGUGUUCUGGUAGGAAUAGUGAUGAUAAAUGAUAAAGCUCACUAUUUUUAUAAUGGACUUCAACUUCACAUUAUUCUUCUCCCUCAGUACUCCGUGACCUUUGCAAAGAGCAAAAGAGAAAAACAUUACUUAUUCAUUCCAAAAAGUUAAAGGCUUACCAAAGCAAGACCACAAUAAGCACUCUUCAGUCUUUUACUCUGAAUUGUAUCAGUACAAAUCAGAGGACUGAUUUUACAAAAUCUAUUCAUCUUUCUAUUUAAAUAUGAAUGUUUAUAAAUGCUCUGCUAAACUGUACCUUCAAAUUCCACACAAGUCUAUGGGCAAUGUUUGCUCCACAGGCAAUAAGAUAAAAUAUUAUGACCUUUUCUGAAUUCUGUGUCAUGUACAUUCUAUUGAAAUUUGUAUUCUACAAUUCUGUAUUAAGCAAAAUACAUUGUCCUCAAUGCAUGAAACAAUUUUCCUAAAGCAACCAUAGAUUUCCAUCCCUAUAAAGUCCUUGGCUGCUUUAUAUGGAGUUGUCUGCAUUUAAUCAGGGACAGGAAUAAUGGAAUUUUGCAAUCAAACGUUAUUUUCAGUACCUGCAGAAAUAGAGUUAUGUAGUAUUUACAGCGUCAGCCUUUCUUCUCUUCUUUGCCUCAGGCUGUCAUAAUGUGUGGCUGUCCCAAAGUGUUCCAGACAGAUGAAACUCUUUCUAGGGAGCAGCUUCUUGGUCCCUUUGUAAUAACCCAUUUUCUAUACGGUGCAUUUGGAAUUUAAUAUCGUCAGCAUGGUGUAAAGGAACCAAACUCGAAGUGGAAAUCUGAGAAGUUCUCAUAAGAUAAAACAAGGGCAUUUCCUUCUACUAGGCACUUCAUCUAUUUGCUAGGAGGUGUACCUGAAAGCAUUGCCCCGUGCUGGCCCAUGUAAUAGCUGCUACUCAAAGAGAUGGUUGCAUCCCUCCCCACUGCUUCACACUCUGCUUUUCCCCUGCCUCAGCUGUGUUGUUGCUGGCAUUCAGACAUUCUUGUGCACAUAAGGUCAGGGGCUGCUCUCCCUGAAAACUCAGUGAAAGGCAACAGCUCCUGCUACUUUCUUGGUCUCCUCCAUGCACGAGUGCAAGUGCCAGUGCAAAGCUGGAAGAAGCCACAUCUCCUCAGAUACAGGAAACAGGUGAGUUACAGCAUUCCAGCCCAUGUCUGCACCUAAGCUGGCCUAGAUGCAGCCCAAUCUGUCUGUUGGUACGCUGUGAGUUAUUAGGAUGAGAGUGGCAGACUUGCUCAAGGAAGCCUGAGCUCCUCCUGGCGUGUGUGAGGAACGUGAGGCUCAUGUUUUCUCUACAGUGAACAGGAGCUGGCAGCAAUUCUGCGGAGCCCCCCGAGGCUGCAAAGCUGUGACCACGUGCUGAUGUCCCAGAACACAGCACUGGUGGCCACCACUGCUGUACCAAAGAAGGAAACAUAGCUUAUGAAACAUAAUAUAUAUCGAGAUGCCCGUGUAUAAAACUUGAAUCUAUAAAAUACUUCCGUUAUUUGCCUUCUUGAUUCGCUUGUUCUUUUUAGUGGGUAAAUUCCUAAUGUGAUUUCUAGUUUCAGGAGGAAGGUAUUUCUAGAGCCAAAACAUUCUCUCAGAUUAUUUCUGUCCUUGUUCUCAUGUUUUGGUAACAGAAAUGGGAAGAAAGAAAAUUACAUCCUGACAGGCCUUGUGAAGUUACAAAUGAGGAAUCUGGUCUGAUGUAUGUGACAAGUGGUCUUGUUAAACAGCUUUCUCAAUCUCUUACUUUUUAUAAACACUGUUCUUUCCCUACUAGGCAAGAAAGCAGAAGCAAUUUCCCAUGAGUCCUCAUGUUAUGAAAAGGCCAAGCACCUUUUUAAGUUCCAGUGAACGUUAAGCUUUGUGAGUGAACUGCUGGUGUUCGGGUGGCUUUACGCUGAUUGCAUGCGCACCUUUCUCAGCGUGCUGACUACCAAAGAAACAAAUAUGAAUGUAACAUACGUGAAUUGCAUAUUUGGAAAAGUAUCCUUCCAGCUGCCUUGCUACCACUUUUCUAAGCUGAUCAGAACUGAGGUCCUGUUCUCAGGCUGGCUUCUCACACAGAACAGAAGUGCAGGACUAUGUGAAACUCUGAGGGUGCAGCACAGAUGUAUUCUUCGAGACCCCUGGAAAGAGAGGUGCAGCCAUACAAUGUGGGAUUCGUCUCUCAUGUGAAUCAUCCUUUAUCCUCUUCAUGCAUUGCUGCUUUAUGAAUCAUAUUGCUACUGCAAGAGAGCAUUGUGGUAUCCCUCCUUUCAUUCCCCACCACCAUUAUCACCUCUGGUUGGUACCCCUAGCCCAGCAUGGCUUGUUGUUACUGCAGAGGGACAGCGCUAACCUAUUCCUCUCCUUCUUUGUCUCCUCCUCAGCAAAUCUACUUUUGCAGUAAAAUGGCAUGACGCAAGACAGCAGUUAUUUAUAACAUCUGUGUGAAGGCAGUUUGACGAGGCUUGGGUAAAUAUAAAUCUGGAGAAGUACACCACACAGAUCUGUGCAUGACUGCUUUACAGAAAUCUGACCAAUUCUUCCCAAACUAGAUGUUUUCCUGGGUGUAAUAAGGACUGAUUGUGAACAAGAAUUGAAAAAAGCUUUCAUUUUGACCUAUUGCUUGAGGUUAUUCUGUGUCAGAUAUGAUAAAUUCACAGUAAACUGUACUCUCCAUGAUGUGAUAUUUAACACCAAGAAGUUCAGAGUUAAUACUUAAUUGUAUUAAUUCAGUACUGACUCAGAUAAAUCAGUAGAGCCAUUGUACAUUCGUGGACUUUUCUCUGGACAUACUUUGUUGGUUUUUUUUUGUCUCCUGAGUCCCAUCCAAGUGGAUUUUUGUUAAACACAACCUGUACAUGGAUUUUUCAUCAUCUACUCCCAGGAUUUUGUAGGCAAGGCGCUGAGAUGAGAAGGAGACUCAGCAGCGCUGGCAGCUGGGGAGGCUCAGGAAGCAAGGGGAAGGAAGGCAGAAAAAGCAGCUGGCUGGAGGAGAACUCACUGCUGUGAUGGUCACUGGAUCCAUCCUCCCAGAAUUCCUCUGUCCUCCUAGGGAUGCCUAUGUCCUUAUCGCUUUGUUACGCAGAUAUGGGUAUGGACGCACAGAUGCAAACAGCGUUGCUCCCCUACCAGCCCUUCUAGAAGGAUGUUCUCCUCUCUCCCCAGCUCCACUCUUUUAGCUUUUGGAAAUGUGACACCUAAAAAUAAGAAUGUUAAAUUCAGGUAAUCCAAAACUAUAGAAGUCUUUUUUACCCCAGUGUUAUCUGACAUGCUCUGUAUAUUUAAUGGCAAACAAUUGAAUAACAGUCAAUAUGAAAAUUUCCUUUCAACAAGCACAGAAAGUAUGCAGGGACUCCCCUUGCUCUCAUUAAUCCAUUAUGUUAUUUUUCAUUCUAAUAACAGACAAACCCCUAUGGCUGAAGAAAUGUCUUUGUAAUUUAUUCCAGCAAACAUUUCCCUUAUGAAAAAUUGCUAUAAUGUAAAUUUAUCGUUGGAGUGGGUGUAUAAUACUAUCAGUCAGAUGUUUAUCUCAGUAAUAGCACUGUGUUUCGUUAGUAAUGCUCUGUAACUACGUUGCUAUAACUGAAAUUACUAUCUGAAGCAGGAAUAGAAACGCUAUAUACAUGAAAUACUGAAAAAAUACUUCAAGAUACAUUCUUCAUCUGUUCAUAUGCUCAGUUAUAAGCACUUAAUUAAUAUUAGGUUUGGUAUUUACAUUCUCUGACUUGAAUAAAAGAGGGAGGAGAGAAAAAAUAUGUCUAUAUUUCUUUAAAGAAACCUGAGUAAAACUGAAAUGCUGUUGGUCAGCUUUGCAGCUUGUGAAAAAUCAAUGUCGCUUCCAUUACUCGACUGACUUCAACAUGCUGAUGUUGAUUUACAGUGGUGGGGAUCUACACAAUGGUUAAUAAGAAGAAUACCUUGGACUUUGGUAGUGUUUUUUAUCUGGAAAUUCUUAAUUGCUUGUCUGCGUCUUACUGUUGGUGAAGAUUAAGUGUUGCAUAAGUUAAUUUAGGACCUCAUAGACACUUCUAAUUCAUGAAAAAUACAAAUUUAAUCAGGUGAAUGUCUUGUUAAAAAGACUUAUUUCAUUUUCUUGGUUUUAUGUACAUGACACGAACAAGAGAAAUGCCUGGAGGCAGUUGAAAUCAUUGUUUGCAAUCAGUCCUUUCAAACAGUCUGAAAUGUAUCUGAAACUCAAAACCUGUUUUCAGUCCUGCUGUCAUGUUGCAGACAAGCUGUUUGAGGUCUAAAAUCUUGGCAAGACCCUUCACUGUGAGGGUGGUGAGACAUUGGAACAGGUUGCCCACCGAGAUUGUGGAUGCCCCCACCCCGGAAGCAUUCAAGGCCAGGCUGGAUGGGGCUUUGAGCAACGUGGUCUAGAGAGAGAUGUCCCUCCCUAUAGCAGGGGGUUGGAACUAGAUGAUCUUAAAGGUCCCUUCCAACCCAAGCCAUUCUAUGAUUCCGUGGUUCUAUCAUUCUAUAAAUACCCUCAACCCUUGGGGUUAUUUUGCUGCUACCCACUCUGUGCUCCCUUCAGUUUUCUGCAUGCUCUGAAGGCGGUGGUGGUCCAGACUUUCUUUUGCCAAGUAUCUUUUUUCUUCCCCGUCAAACUUUUCCUAAUUGCUUCUUGGGGCUCCGUAUUGCUUCUUUCACUCCACAGAGAUUUUUUGCAUGAUCUGUAGUGCAUUGUGGAUUCUAGUUCAGCGUUGCAAUGAGCACUCAGUGUGUCUGUCUGUGACCUGUAUGUCCAAUGGUACACACAAGCAGUCUACGUGUGCUCUGUGUGCAUAUGUUUACUACAAAUACACCUUCAGCCUUACUGCUGGAGGGCCUGGAGCAUGGUGCCACAGCAGCCGCAACUCUCUUGGGGUGCUGGACCCAGCAUGGUGGAUUUUCCUUUAUGAUUUAUGAUUUCCUAUCUUACUGCGUUCUUUUAACUAACAGAAUGACAUUUAACUUAAUUCUGGUGAAGGGAAAAAAGGUAUUUUGGCCUAUAAAUACCACUGAUCCUUCAGAUCUAUUAUCUGAUCAUCAGCACUGUCCUUUUUCAUUCAGGUAUAUCAUUCCAUUCUUACAACCUAUCAAUAUCAUUUAGGGCCAUGAUAACAAAAAGUUCCACUGAAUCCACUGGCUGACAAACAGCAGUGGCCCACGUUAUAUAUAUGUAGCUGAAAAACUCAUAAUCUCUUCUAAAAUGCUAGCACUCUGCAAUCUCCAGGAGUAGAAUUUUUUCCCCAGCAGUUAUCGAAGUCCCAGAUAUGGCACACUGGUACAAUGCUGUGCAUUUUUUGUGGGUGUCUGUGAUUCAAGAUUCAAGCUUCCAUUUUAAAUGGCUGAUAUGACAGGGUAGUGGCAUCCAUUUAAAAUACUUCCUGUGCCUUGACUGAUGCUGACCCACUUCAGCUGCUGAGGAAAGCAGUUUUUUUUAUAGAGUACUCGAUCAUAUCUAUUGCAAAACCCUGAAAUAUUGGAACCAGUAUUUCCCAUCCAUUAAAGUAGCUAUAGCACUGGGACUCUAGCUCAUGCUUAAGGUGCCCAAGUAUUUUAGUACUUUAAAUAACAAUGAUAUUAGAUAUUUUUAAAUCCAUAGGCUAUACUGCAUGACAGAUUUAUAGCAAAUUAUUCAAAUCUGAAAUACCAUAAAAGAUUCAUUGAAGUGCUAAUUAAAAGUCUUUAAAAUAAAUUUUGUUCAGUGUGCUCCCUGCAAUAUGUAAACACUAAAAUCCACACUCAAAAUCCCUCACUCCCUGUCCAAUAAUUGUGUUUGCAAUGAGUAUGAAAGAUGCAGAUCUUCAAAAGCUGUAAUUGCGCAUGUAAUACCAGAGUAAACAGGUGAUAUUCCUAUGCUUUAGAGCACAGAAAGUAAGUUAAAGUAACUCUGCAUAACUUUCAAUAGAAGUAUCCUGUUUUAGUACCCCUAUUUAUGUUUUGAAACUCAAUGUUGUGACACUUUUGUCUUGUUUGUGAAGUGAUCUUCAGGGAUUAGCGUGGUCAUCUGACUGAAGAGCCUUAGGAAUCCUCUCUGCAGAAUUCAGCCUACACCACCACUCUUCUUUGAUUGUGGUUAUUGGUUAUGGCUGAAUGCAGACAAAUGCCAUCAGACGGUGGCACACCGGGGUUGAAACAGGCUUCAAAGGCUCUUGAAUGUUAUGUUAUGGUCCUUUCUUUAGAUUUGCUCUGAAGAAUACACUGAGAUGUAUAAUAUUAACGUUUUGGAGGAGCACUCCUUCUGAAUAGCUCUGUUUUUUAAGAACCUGGGACAUGAGCCAGUGACAAGCAAACACUGGAAUUAUUCAGAAACUUAAGACAGGGAGUGCUGAUCAGACAGGAUCAGAUGUUGAAAGAAGCAGGGCUCUGUCAGGUACCUGGCACUGAGUGGUGUUUGAUACCGGGAUGCGAUGCCAAGAGUGGUGAUAGUAAUGAGGAAAAUAACCUCAGUGAAAGAUAGACCAACUACAGCGCUGCAGGAGAGGUGAAGUGCAGAGGACAGCUGGGAAAGGUUACAUUAAUGGAUGCCAGCAAAAAUGGGCUGAUUAGUCAGAAGGUAGCUUUAUUUUGGGUAAUAGUGUGUCUGAAGCAUUGCACGAUCUGAAUAUCUUCCAGUUAGCUCAUGCAGAAAAGGCUAAUUGUAUAACUUGGUAGAAGUGUGACAUUACAGCGUCUAAAAAUAAAACACAUGAAAAAAUAUAUGUUUGAGCCUUCAGGAGUACUCAAACUGCUUAAAUUUAGGCUUAUAAAUUAGGGAGGCAAAUUAGAGGGAUAGUCUUUGUAGAUUAUUAAUGGAAAGAGAGAAGAAGGAAUGGGCUGGAGAGGGAGUGGAAGCUCCUCCAAGAGCAAUUCAGAGCAGGAGCCUAAUUUAAAUGCUAUAGUUGCCCUCAUAAGGAAUUCCCCUCUCACUUCACUUAGUCAUCUGCAGUACGUAAAUAUCCUCCAAAGAGAACAGAAAGAGUUUAGAAAAACAGACACUGCAAUCAAAGGGAGAAGAG